GCUGGGUGUGGUAGCACAUACCUGUAGUCCCAGCUACUUGGGAGGCUGAGGCAGGAGAAUUGCUUGAACCUGGGAGGCAGAGGUUGCAGUGAGCUGAGAUUGCACCACUGCACUCCAGCCUGGGUGACAGAGAGAGAACUUGUCUCAAAAAAAAAAAAAAAAAUCUGGAGAUAGGGUCUUACUCUCUUGCCCAGGCUGGAGUGCAGUGAUGUGAUGUUGGCUCACUGCAGCCUUGAACUCUUGAGCUCCAGCAAUCCUCCAACCUCAGC
rnacentral:lncRNA from 10 species